UACGUAGGGGGCAAGCGUUGUCCGGAUUUAUUGGGCGUAAAGAGCGUGUAGGCGGCUUGGUAGGUCCGCUGUGAAAACUCGAGGCUCAACCUCGAGAUGUCGGCGGAAACCACUUGGCUAGAGUCCGGAAGAGGCGAGUGGAAUUCCUGGUGUAGCGGUGGAAUGCGCAGAUAUCAGGAGGAACACCAAUAGCGAAGGCAGCUCGCUGGGACGGUACUGACGCUAAGGCGCGAAAGCGUGGGGAGCAAACAGG
rnacentral:rRNA from 1 species